GAUGAACGCUGGCGGCGUGCCUAAUACAUGCAAGUCGAGCGAACAGACGAGGAGCUUGCUCCUCUGACGUUAGCGGCGGACGGGUGAGUAACACGUGGAUAACCUACCUAUAAGACUGGGAUAACUUCGGGAAACCGGAGCUAAUACCGGAUAAUAUAUUGAACCGCAUGGUUCAAUAGUGAAAGACGGUUUUGCUGUCACUUAUAGAUGGAUCCGCGCCGCAUUAGCUAGUUGGUAAGGUAACGGCUUACCAAGGCAACGAUGAGUAGCCGACCUGAGAGGGUGAUCGGCCACACGGGAACUGAGACAGGGUCCAGACUCCUACGGGAGGCAGCAGUAGGGAAUCUUCCGCAAUGGGCGAAAGCCUGACGGAGCAACGCCGCGGGAGUGAGGAAGGUCUUCGGACCGUAAAACCCUGUGAUUAGGGAAGAACAAAUGUGUAAGUAACUAUGCACGUCUUGACGGUACCUAAUCAGAAAGCCACGGCUAACUACGUG
rnacentral:rRNA from 1 species